rnacentral:rRNA from 1 species
AAAGCAGGGGCAACCCUGUGAGUACAGUGGCGUACGGGUGAGUAACACGUGGGUAAUCUACCCUUGAGUGGGGAAUAACGCUGGGAAACCGGCGCUAAUACCGCAUAAGCUCGGAAGAGGAAAGUCGCAAGACGCUGAAGGAGGAGCCCGCGGCCGAUUAGCCAGUUGGUGAGGUAAAAGCUCACCAAAGCGAAGAUCGGUAGCCGGCCUGAGAGGGCACACGGCCACACUGGCACUGAAACACGGGCCAGACUCCUACGGGAGGCAGCAGUGGGGAAUCUUGCACAAUGGGGGAAACCCUGAUGCAGCGACGCCGCGUGAGCGAUGAAGCCCUUCGGGGUGUAAAGCUCUUUCGGCAGGGACGAUAAUGACGGUACCUGCAGAAGCAGCUGCGGCUAACUACGUGCCAGCAGCCGCGGUAAUACGUAGGCAGCGAGCGUUGUUCGGAGUUACUGGGCGUAAAGGGUGUGUAGGCGGUUCUCUAAGUUUGGUGUGAAAUCUCCCGGCUCAACCGGGAGGGUGCGCCGAAAACUGGAGGGCUAGAGUGCGGGAAGGGAGAGUAGAAUUCCUGGUGUAGCGGUGAAAUGCGUAGAUAUCAGGAGGAAUACCGGUGGUGCAGACGGCUCUCUGGACCGCGACUGACGCUGAGACACGAAAGCGUGGGUAGCAAACAGGAUUAGAUACCCUGGUAGUCCACGCCCUAAACGAUGCAUAUUUGGUGUAGGUCAUUCAGUUGAUCUGUGCCGGAGCUAACGCGUUAAAUAUGCCGCCUGGGGAGUACAGUCGCAAGGCUGAAACUC